GGAUUGCUAGCUUAGUGGAAGAGGAUCUGCACCAGCAAUCAGAGGGUCAUGGGUUGGAAUCUUGGUCAAUCUA